rnacentral:tRNA from 1 species
GUCUCAGUAGCAUAGCGGCUAUUGCACAACCCGGAAAGGUUGAGACGCGGGUUCGAAUCCCGCCGGAGAUA